GUGUGUGGAGGAAAAGCAGUAUUUUUUAAACAUUUUCCUCCUCGCUGGUUGGUGGUGUUGGUGAUGGUGGUAGUGGUGGUGAUGGUGAUGAUGGUGGUGGUGGUGGUGACGUGACGAUUGCUUUGCGUUCACUUCGCUAAUUACUACCAGAGAGAGAGAGAGAGAGAGAGAGAGAGAGAGAGAAUAGCGUCGUCAAAGUAAUUUCAAGACCCCGAUCAACCGUUUCGUCACUCGCUGUACCCAUUUUAGCAUCGACCAACAUUGCCUCCAGAAUGCCCCGGAAAGCUACCCAAUGCAACGGUUUAUCUAUUUUUACGGUGGUGGUGGUGGUGGCGGCGGUGCUGUUACUGUGGCUGCUACGCGACUCUCCACAGACAGAAGUUUUCGUGGCCGAGGGAGAUGUCAGAGUUGUUGUACCAAUACCUCACCGUCACCACCACCACCACCACCACCGCCCUGCCCCUCAGGUCAGCUCGGGCCCCUUAUCUGGCAUUCCUCUGUUGCUGAUGGUGACCUCAGAUGAUCUCUCGCUGUUAACCAGAUCUCUUGAGAGCAUUGAGAGAGUGACAUCAGGAAGCGGCCUACAUCUCUAUGCCUCCGUGGCCGAUCCCUCCGAGGAGAUCCUGAGCCUCCUAGAAAGUCACUCCUUCAACAUCCACUCCUUCGGCGCCGCUAAAACGAAACCGAUGUCAUGGUUAGGCCGAAUCCUCCCGGACCUCUCUAUUGCCGAGGAUAUCCGCGAGAUGGCGCGCAAACUCUUCCAUGGAGGAGUGUGCCAGCAGGACCCCUUGUCUCCGGAGAUCAAAAUACUCCACACUGGUGACAAUACGACGAAGAUUUCCACGUUUCGCCCCACGCUGGCCAACCUAACGCAGCAGGAGAGGGAAGCUACGUACAUCAACCACCCAUACAACCCCAUGUUUCGCCGCGCUGUGAUGAAUUCAAAAGGUUCUGAGGGUGGCGAGGGCGGCGAGGCGUGCAAGGAGGCCGAGCAACUGAAGGAGGCGUUGAAGCACAUCCUAUCGGCCCUCCCUGACCUCAAGUACCUCCUGAUGGUGGAGUCCGGCCUCUACCUCCACCCGGACUUCGUGAGUUUCUUCGCCCAGACCCUGCCGGCCAUGCAACAAGACCCCUCCCUGUACUGCAUCUCCGCCUCCAACCCCCUGGCUCUCCCUGCUCACCCUGGGGACCUUGCACGACUCCAUCGGCUUGAUCACUUCACAGGGGGAGCCUCCAUGGUACCCCGGAGCCUGGUGGAGGAGGUGGCGGGGGAGUUUGUGGUGUAUGAACAGAUGAUGGAGGAUGCUGACGGCUGGGGUGUUGGGGGAAGGAGUGGGAGGACGGGAAUGGAGUGGCUGACGGAGUGGCUGUCAUGGUGGGGGAGGAGAUAUCGUCGGGGGUGCGUUGUGCCUGAUGUCCCCCGGGUGUGUCCCCUGCUCCCCCCCAGCGACCCCGCCCCCGCCCUCCCUGAGACCUGCGCGCGCCUACGGGAGGAGAGUGAACAGCCACCACCCCGCAACGCACCUCCAUUUGACAUUUCCAAACUCGUCCACUAUAAGUACAGUCAAGAAUUGUUCAGUGACAUCGAGUCGGCGCAGUCCCUCGGCACCAAAGUGUUGAAUUGUACCGAUCCUGACUUCUUCCCGCAGCCCAUGAAUCACUCCAGUUACGUCAUAUUCAUCAAGAUGGAAAACUAUGACGACGACUUCACCUUCCACCACGUGAUGGAGUGCUUCGGCCUUGACCUCCCGGCUGCUGUGGGCUACUUCGAAGGAGUGUUCCAGGUGACCUUCAGAGGCAAGCGGGUCUUCAUCCUCGGCGCUCCCUACUCCCGCUUCUCACCCGGCAUGAAGGAAAGCGACAACCUCAUCAUAGCGGACAUCAAGAGCCUGUUUGUGCGCGGCCAGACCAACUACAUGAGACACAGGCGCGACAAGUUCAUCUUCAACACCGUCCUCGUCCUGCACUCCAUGCCUUAGCGCUUAGUCUGGACCCCGACACGCGUAUACAGACCAGCCAGACUCAAGUUAGAAAUUCGUCCCCUUACUAUACCCGGAAAUACUGAAGAAUAUAAAACAAAGACUCCUAACAGUAACCUCAGUGUUCUGUUGUGUCCUGUUACCGUUGUUCCUCCUCAAAACGGGAGCUAGGAAAUCAUCUUCAUUCCCUCACUAAAAUACAAGAAAGGAAAGACUGUAACUUCAUCCCUCCGCUCACAAGGACAAUUGAACCUCAUGCCACUUGUGCUGGACUCUGGCAGCAUAGGAUACAUGUGACCUGAAUGUGUGUCUGCUGUGACUGUGUAUGAAGUGGUGUGAAGAUGCCGCGGACCCACAACCCCCUCCCAAAGCCGUACACUGAGGCUGAUGUGUUUCGCGCUGUCCAAGAAGUUGAAGCUGGAGCAAGUAUAUACUCAGCUGCAAAGAAAUACCACUUGUAUGCCACCACGCUGCAAAAAAGAGUUCUAGCCCAUAGGGGAAGAAUUACUCUAACAAAAAGAGGUCAUAAAAUAAGGAUGCCUGAAGAAACUGAGCAGAAACUUGCAGUCUCUGUUAGACAGAUGGGUAAAUUUGGAUUUCAGCCAACUAUAGGAAAAUUAAGGGAAAUGGCAUAUGACUAUCUACGUGCUGAUAAACUAACACAUCUAUUCAAUGAUAAACUGCCAGGAUAUGAUUGGGCAAAAUCCUUCAUGAACCGCCACCACCUUUGUCUCGAGAAAAAAGGAUCUUCAUUAAUAACGGCGCAUGGAGAGCGCUUAUUGCAUUCCAGUGAUGAGCGCACAUUUUCAUCACAGACCCCGCCAGAGGUUCUUUCUCCGGCAACACUGAUCAGAAUGUUGCAGCAGUUUGCACCACGUGGAAUGAAAUAUGUUGUUCAACUUGUUCCUGACAUAGUGGAAAACCCAUUUAAGGAAGCCACCAAGUCAUGUGAUCCUCCAAGUGCUCAGCCUCAAAAAAGACGUCGCAGCUCUUGUGAAAAAGCCAAAGAAGUAAAGAAGAAAGGUGAAGAAAAUGGAAAAUCCAAGCGUAAGAAGAGAUCAGUUUUAGAGGAGUUUGCCGGUGAAGUGGAAGUAGACGAUCCUGUACCUUUGAAAACCGAAGUUGAUAGUGAUGGUCUUUCUGAAAUUGGUGCUGGAAGUCCUGUAAAUCUAGAGAAAACAAUAACAAAAAUAAUUAAAAGUGAAGAACCUGCUGAAAAUAGGGUGAAACCAUGUCAUGUGAUCCUGACGAAGUUGAAGUGACGUUCCUCAAAAGGAGCGUCCUAACAAGUGACACAGCAAGGCUAAGGUGGGACUGGGCGGUCAGGGAGGAUAAAGAUGUCGUUAGUGUGUCCACCAUCUUGUGUGGGCCGGCCCAACCACAACUAGUGCUUAACCCGGUAGCAGCGGGGAUCAUGAUUCUUAAUGGUCCAUCUAAGCGAGAAAAAUGAGAAAAAAUCACCCCUCACACAAACCCUUUCAUAAUAUAUAUCAAAGCAUUUGUGAACGGUUUAUGUAUUAUCUAUUUUGGGGGGUUAUAUCAUGGCACAUAAUUGGCCCGUCGCUGCUACACGGUAAAGCCAUAAAUUUGGCCCAUCUCUGCUACCGGGUUAAAACUUGUAGAAAACAGGCAUUUUACUUUAGGGAAGAGGCAGCGGCCCUUAGACACCAUUGUGAAAUGAUUAAGUAAGUCAUAUGCCAAAAAAAGGUAGUGUUUAAUGUCAUGGAAAAUGUAGGCAACCUUAAUGCAUAUGAUUUUUGAAACUGAAGAGAUGUACUACUUUGUUUUCUUCGUUAAAUUAUUCAUAGAAGUAAAUUUAGAGUCGGUGGUGCAUAUCCUGUCCCUGAUGGUACCUAAACAUGCAUUCAAGUAUACAUGUUUCUACAUUUAUAAGGAUUUCUAAAUACAUGGAUAUGAAUAUAUAACCUGUAUUUUCCAGGUUUAUUGGAUCAUUCUAAAUCCAUUGAUAUCCUCAUUGAAUAAAGUAAUACACAUUGUUCAAAGUCAAUUACAAUUC